UCACCAUACUUUAGAAUGACACACACGAUUUCUACAGUGUCUCUCUCCUCCAUCUAACUCAAGCGGGCAUGCUGUCAGCUGCAGGUCACAGCAUCGUCGGGUUAGGAGAAGCAGGUGAUCGCAGGAGAUCCUGUGUACACACUGCAAAGUUCCAGGAGCACAGACUCUGUCUGCUUUGCUGACAACAGUGGCUGGCUAUUGAAACGGGCGCCAGUAAAUAUCUGUGGAACAGCACAUAGAAGGAAAUAGUGAGCUGCUGACACUGGGAUGUGUACUGGCUGAAGAACAGGGGAUUCAGGACGACCACGGGCUCAAACACAGAGACAGCCAGCGAGAGAGGGAACACAAGCAGAGGGAG